UAGUCAUAUGCUCGUCUCAGAGAUUAAGCCAUGCAAGUUUAAGUAUAAGCAAUUCUAACUGUGAAACUGCGGAAAGCUCAUUAUAUCAGUUAUAGUUCAUUUGAUAGCAUUCUUUCUAAACGGAUGACCGUAGUAAUUCUAGAGCUAAUACAUGCCCAGACGAGAUUUCUCACGAGAUCUUGCACUUAUUAGAAUUAAAUUCAACCUUGUCUUUGACAGGACUUUGCUGAAUCAUAGUAAUUUUGCAAAUCGCAUUGGUUUAUCCAGGCGAUGGGUCAUUCAAAUUUCUGCCCUAUCAGCUGUGAUGUUAGUGUAGUGGACUAACAUGGCGUAAACGGGUGACGGAGGAUUAGGGUCUGAUUCCGGAGAGGGAGCCUGAGAAAUGGCUACCACUUCCAAGGAAGGCAGCAGGCGCGUAAAUUACCCAAUCCCGACACGGGGAGGUAGUGACAAGAAAUAACAAUACCGGAUCUUAAUGGAUUUGGUAAUUGGAAUGAGUACAAUCUAAAUUCCUUAACAAGGACCAAUUG
rnacentral:rRNA from 1 species